UAGAAAUUAGAAAAAUUAGAACUUGUCGCGCCCAAAUUUCAAAAAGCACCAUAUUCCCAUAGCUAGCGACACCCAGAUUCCUACCUAGGGUUCACAAAUCUCCAUCAUUCGCUAUACUCUCACUAUGAAGUCCAGGGUUUUGAAUUCACCAUCCAAGAAAAAAGCCGUUUGUUACAGAUAUUUAAAGCCAGGAGCACUAGCUCGAAUUCGAGACUCCAAGAAAUCCACCGCUAAUUUGAAAAAACCCACUUCUCAAAACGCUCUUUCGCCUUCGAAACUCGUCAAUUUGUCUUCGACAUCGAUAAUCUUGGAGACCCAGAUGAUCCAUAUGGCCAUGGAAGGUGUCCCUUUUUUCCCUGCUUUGAGAUUCAGUCAGUUUUCGAAGCGCGGUCAGCGGAAGAAAUUGUUUGCUGUGGCGCCUGUUUUUCCUGAUAUUCAGGCCUAAUGGGGGCAUUGUAAGGUCUGAUAUGUGGAAUUGAAUAAGAAAAUUAUGAUCUUUGGUAAAUUGGAUAAAAUAGGUUUGCUUAGAACUAGAAUUUUUUGAUCAUUUUUGGUAUAUGUUGAUUUGUGUGCAUAUAUUUUAAAUGGUCUAUUAUGUUUUUUAGCGAAUGCUUAAAUUAUACUAUUCGGUUGUUUUGUGUAUUGGAAAGAUUUGAUUUUGAUUGAUGACUACUUCACUUGAAAU
rnacentral:lncRNA from 1 species